UACGUAGGGUGCGAGCGUUAAUCGGAAUUACUGGGCGUAAAGCGUGCGCAGGCUGUUUUGUAAGUCAGAUGUGAAAUCCCCGAGCUCAACUUGGGAACUGCGUUUGAAACUACAAGACUAGAAUAUGUCAGAGGGGGGUAGAAUUCCACGUGUAGCAGUGAAAUGCGUAGAGAUGUGGAGGAAUACCAAUGGCGAAGGCAGCCCCCUGGGAUAAUAUUGACGCUCAUGCACGAAAGCGUGGGGAGCGAAUGGG
rnacentral:rRNA from 1 species